rnacentral:lncRNA from 1 species
AUGGUGGUAGUGGAGGUGGUGGUGAAAUCUUCUCUUUUCCCCAGGAUCCCUGUAAGCUAACAUUCAAAAUCCUCUUCUGACUUCAUUUUGGAGAAGGAAAUGGCAGCUGGAUGGCGGUGUGCACAUCCUGACCCAGCCCGCCACACUUCCAGAUUGCCUGGGAUGGCAACCCUGCAGAAGGAUGGCCGAGAUGUCACAAUACCCCAGCCAACCUCUAAGAGCAGAGCAGUUACCAGCAAGAAUAUCCUGGGAAAAUGAAAAGAACUAGAAACCGCAGACAUGGCACAAAGUCACAUCACACGUAACUGGAAUGCUCCUCUCUUCGCCUUACGCAUGUCCUAGACAUGGCCUUACCCUUUUGUACUCCCUUUCUCCUUUGAGGAAACAUGGACAUUUAACAGAACAGCUAGGAAAACAUUACAGUCAGAACUCAGUCACACAGGUAACAUGGACAGUAACACGGUGACACCUUGGUGGACUACUCCCCCCCCCCAUAAGAUCAGUUUUCUGGUCAAGACUAUUAUUAACAUCAAAUCAGAAGGGAGAAAUAGAGACUGGAAACCAGGGAAGGGGUUGGGCCUUGUGCUGCAUUCUGUAGCACCAGCCAGGAACAGCUGUUUACUGAAUACAAUCUCACCUCUUCGGGUACUGUAAGCGGCUGAAGUCUAACCAGAGACGUCCUUGCUAAAAUGCAGUUUCAUUUGUAUCUCUAUAAGCACGCAUGACGACCACAGU